AACGAACGCUGGCGGCAGGCUUAACACAUGCAAGUCGAACGCGUGUAGCAAUACACGAGUGGCGCACGGGUGAGUAACGCGUGGAUAUCUGCCUUUUGGUUCGGAAUAACCCCGGGAAACUGGGGCUAAUACCGGAUGGUUCCUACGGGAUAAAGAUUUAUCGCCAAAAGAUGAGUCCGCGUACGAUUAGCUAGUUGGUGAGGUAAUGGCUCACCAAGGCGACGAUCGUUAGCUGGUCUGAGAGGACGAUCAGCCACACUGGGACUGAGACACGGCCCAGACUCCUACGGGAGGCAGCAGUGGGGAAUAUUGGACAAUGGGGGCAACCCUGAUCCAGCCAUGCCGCGUGAGUGAUGAAGGCCUUCGGGUUGUAAAGCUCUUUUGGCGGGGACGAUGAUGACGGUACCCGCAGAAUAAGCCCCGGCUAACUUCGUGCCAGCAGCCGCGGUAAGACGAAGGGGGCUAGCGUUGUUCGGAAUUACUGGGCGUAAAGCGAGUGUAGGUGGUCGUCCAAGUUGGAUGUGAAAGCCUUGAGCUCAACUCAAGAAAUGCAUUCAGGACUGAAUGACUAGAGGACCGGAGAGGAUAGUGGAAUUCCCAGUGUAGUGGUGAAAUAGGUAGAGAUUGGGAAGAACACCAGUGGCGAAGGCGGGCUAUCUGGACGUUUC
rnacentral:rRNA from 1 species